AACGAACGCUGGCGGCAGGCUUAACACAUGCAAGUCGAGCGCCCCGCAAGGGGGACGGCAGACUGGUGAGUGACGCGUGGGGACGGACCGUGUGGUACGUAGCAACUUCGGGAUACGGGGGCGAAAACGGGGGAAGACCUAACGUGGUAAGGUUUAUCGCCUAAGGGUGGGCGCGCGGGUGAUUAGCUCGUUGGGGAGGUAACGGCGCCCCAGUGGGACGAGCAGUAGCUGGUCUGAGAGGCUGACCAGGCACACGGGGGGUGAGACACGGCGCAGACUGCUACGGGAGGCAGCAGUGGGGAAUACUGGCCAAUGGGCGCAAGCCUGAACCAGCCAUGGCGCGUGAGUGAUGAAGUCGUUAGGGUUGUAAAGCUCUUUUGUCCGCGACGAUACUGACGGUACCGGAAGAAUAAGCCCCGGCUAACUUCGUG
rnacentral:rRNA from 1 species